GACGAACGUUGGCGGCGUGCUUAACACAUGCAAGUCGAACGGAAAGGCCCUGCUUUUGUGGGGUGCUCGAGUGGCGAACGGGUGAGUAACACGUGAGUAACCUGCCCUUGACUUUGGGAUAACUUCUGGAAACUGGGGCUAAUACCGGAUAGGAGCUCCUGCUGCAUGGUGGGGGUUGGAAAGUUUCGGCGGUUGGGGAUGGACUCGCGGCUUAUCAGCUUGUUGGUGGGGUAGUGGCUUACCAAGGCUUUGACGGGUAGCCGGCCUGAGAGGGUGACCGGCCACAUUGGGACUGAGAUACGGCCCAGACUCCUACGGGAGGCAGCAGUGGGGAAUAUUGCACAAUGGGCGGAAGCCUGAUGCAGCAACGCCGCGUGCGGGAUGACGGCCUUCGGGUUGUAAACCGCUUUCGCCUGUGACGAAGCGUGAGUGACGGUAAUGGGUAAAGAAGCACCGGCUAACUACGUGCCAGCAGCCGCGGUGAUACGUAGGGUGCGAGCGUUGUCCGGAUUUAUUGGGCGUAAAGGGCUCGUAGGUGGUUGAUCGCGUCGGAAGUGUAAUCUUGGGGCUUAACCCUGAGCGUGCUUUCGAUACGGGUUGACUUGAGGAAGGUAGGGGAGAAUGGAAUUCCUGGUGGAGCGGUGGAAUGCGCAGAUAUCAGGAGGAACACCAGUGGCGAAGGCGGUUCUCUGGGCCUUUCCUGACGCUGAGGAGCGAAAGCGUGGGGAGCGAACAGGCUUAGAUACCCUGGUAGUCCACGCUGUAAACGGUGGGUACUAGGUGUGGGGUCCAUUCCACGGGUUCCGUGCCGUAGCUAACGCUUUAAGUACCCCGCCUGGGGAGUACGGCCGCAAGGCUAAAACUCAAAGGAAUUGACGGGGCCCCGCACAAGCGGCGGAGCAUGCGGAUUAAUUCGAUGCAACGCGUAGAACCUUACCUGGGUUUGACAUGGAUCGGGAGUGCUCAGAGAUGGGUGUGCCUCUUUUGGGGUCGGUUCACAGGUGGUGCAUGCCUGUCGUCAGCUCGUGUCGUGAGAUGUUGGGUUAAGUCCCGCAACGAGCGCAACCCUUGUUCACUGUUGCCAGCACGUUAUGGUGGGGACUCAGUGGAGACCGCCGGGGUCAACUCGGAGGAAGGUGGGGAUGACGUCAAGUCCUCAUGCCCCUUAUGUCCAGGGCUUCACGCAUGCUACAAUGGCUGGUACAGAGAGUGGCGAGCCUGUGAGGGUGAGCGAAUCUCGGAAAGCCGGUCUCAGUUCGGAUUGGGGUCUGCAACUCGACCUCAUGAAGUCGGAGUCGCUAGUAAUCGCAGAUCAGCAACGCUGCGGUGAAUACGUUCCCGGG
rnacentral:rRNA from 1 species